AGCUUUGCGCAGUGGCAGUAUGGUAGCCAAUGAGGUUUAUCCGAGGCAUGAUUAUUGCUAAUUGAAAACUUAAAAGCUUAAUGCA
rnacentral:snRNA from 1 species